rnacentral:pre_miRNA from 1 species
AAUAAGUGCAGUUUUGCACUAUUCACGUUCAACGUUUGACCGUCCGUCUUAUUUGAAAUUUUUUUAUGAUUAGUAUUUUUAUUGCUAUUAGAUGAUAAAACAUGAAUAGUAUUUUAUGUGUGACUAAAUGUUUUUAAUUUUUUCAUAAAUUUUUCAAAUAAGACGGACAGUCAAACGUUGAACGUGAAUAGUGCAAAACUGCACUUAUU